rnacentral:rRNA from 1 species
CAUGCGUAUCAUUAGCUAGUUGGGGAGGUAACGGCUCACCAAAGCGACGAUGAUUAGGGGCCCUGAGAGGGGGGAUCCCCCACACUGGUACUGAGACACGGACCAGACUCCUACGGGAGGCAGCAGUGAGGAAUAUUGGACAAUGGUCGGAAGACUGAUCCAGCCAUGCCGCGUGCAGGAAGACGGCCCUACGGGUUGUAAACUGCUUUUCUACAGGAAGAAAGGUUCCCUUGCGAGGGAGAUUGACGGUACUGUAGGAAUAAGGACCGGCUAACUCCGUGCCAGCAGCCGCGGUAAUACGGAGGGUCCGAGCGUUAUCCGGAAUCAUUGGGUUUAAAGGGUCCGUAGGUGGGGUUCUAAGUCAGAGGUGAAAGGUUGCAGCUCAACUGUAGAAUUGCCUUUGAUACUGGAGCUCUUGAGUUAUGUUGCUGUGGCCGGAACAUGUGGUGUAGCGGUGAAAUGCAUAGAUAUCACAUAGAACACCGAUUGCGAAGGCAGGUCACAAAGCAUACACUGACACUGAGGGACGAAAGCGUGGGGAGCGAACGGGAUUAGAUACCCCGGUAGUCCACGCCGUAAACGAUGGAUACUAGCUGUUGGGUUUUCGGACUCGGCGGCCAAGCGAAAGUGAUAAGUAUCCCACCUGGGGAGUACGUUCGCAAGAAUGAAACUCAAAGGAAUUGACGGGGGCCCGCACAAGCGGUGGAGCAUGUGGUUUAAUUCGAUGAUACGCGAGGAACCUUACCAGGGCUUAAAUGGGAGAUGACCGGGUCAGAGACGACCCUUUCUUCGGACAUCUUUCAAGGUGCUGCAUGGUUGUCGUCAGCUCGUGCCGUGAGGUGUCAGGUUAAGUCCUAUAACGAGCGCAACCCCUGCCGUUAGUUGCCAGCGAGUCAAGUCGGGGACUCUAACGGGACUGCCGGUGCAAACCGAGAGGAAGGUGGGGACGACGUCAAAUCAUCACGGCCCUUAUGUCCUGGGCUACACACGUGCUACAAUGGUCGGUACAAUGGGAAGCCACCCCGUGAGGGGGCGCGGAUCUUAAAAGCCGAUCACAGUUCGGAUCGGGGUCUGCAACUCGACCCCGUGAAGCUGGAAUCGCUAGUAAUCGGAUAUCAGCCAUGAUCCGGUGAUACGUUCCC